AUUGAACGCUGGCGGCAGGCCUAACACAUGCAAGUCGAGCGGAUGAAGGGAGCUUGCUCCUGGAUUCAGCGGCGGACGGGUGAAUAAUGCCUAGGAAUCUGUCUGGUAGUGGGGGAUAACGUCCGGAAACGGGCGCUAAUACCGCAUACGUCCUGAGGGAGAAAGUGGGGGAUCUUCGGACCUCACGCUAUCAGAUGAGCCUAGGUCGGAUUAGCUAGUUGGUGGGGUAAAGGCCUACCAAGGCGACGAUCCGUAACUGGUCUGAGAGGAUGAUCAGUCACACUGGAACUGAGACACGGUCCAGACUCCUACGGGAGGCAGCAGUGGGGAAUAUUGGACAAUGGGCGAAAGCCUGAUCCAGCCAUGCCGCGUGUGUGAAGAAGGUCUUCGGAUUGUAAAGCACUUUAAGUUGGGAGGAAGGGCAGUAAGUUAAUACCUUGCUGUUUUGACGUUACCAACAGAAUAAGCACCGGCUAACUUCGUG
rnacentral:rRNA from 1 species